GAAUAUUUCUGCGGGCUAGCUGCACGAGAUAUUCCGGAUUAACUCAUAUGAAAUACAACCAUCUUAGCGGGAUGCUCACUCGAGAUUUCUUGAUAAAUAAUCAAUUAUAUUUCACGGCUUCUCAAGUUGCGCACUGAAGCCUCAACUGCUCAUUCCUAAGCUGAAAAAUGCCAAUGCUCGUUUUAUCCAAAACCGUGCUAGGAAACGACGAGUAGCUGAACAAAUAGUCGGAUAAGAGGUCAAUUUAUGAAGGCGUUAAGAACUCAAUUGGAUAACCACUCCCCUUGUGAUGUUAUCAAACGAGAUAUUGAGAGAGCGACAGAUCAAACGUGUCUAGUGUGAUAACUCUUGUUUCCUGCAGGCCAUUACUUCAUGAUAGCAUAAAAACUUUACCUAGUACGAUCACUACAAUCACACAGAGUAGAACAUGUUUUCUGCCCGGAGUGAGAAACAUUUAAGAAGUGCGGACAUAAUACGAUGAUUCAAUGCAGGGGGUUCGCACCAUAGUACAAAUAAUAUAAUCUUCCUCAGAGUUUGGAUAGAAAUUUAAUUUGUCCGGCCUCCUACUAUUUUGGAGGCGGUGAUUUAUACAGUUUGAUGUUUUCUACAUGAUGGCAAACAUACGAUCGGGAAGAGUUGGAAAAUAUGAUAUCAAGCAUUAUUUCAAGAUAUGAAUCGAAGCUUGCUGUGAGUAUAUUCAAAAUGCUUGCUAGUCAUGGAUUGUAGGAUAUCGAUCAUGAAGUGAUCACAGUUGUAGCUACAGUUGUUCACAAUUGCCCCACAACAAACAACGCUUCACGUAUUCUACAUAACAAAGUGUGAUGGGCAAUACACAACAAGAUAAACAUUGUUUCCCAGACAUAGACAAUAUUUAAAAACAAAGCCAAGGAGCAGAGCUUGAAAACGGGAUGACAAUGAUAAUGCAAGAAAGUAGAAAAGCACAUUUGUUCUUCCAGCAAGAUAUGCUCUUUCUCAGAAUACAUUCAUGAAAAAGACGUUGAGGUAGAAAUUCAUUCAAACUUCUUAUCACCGCACGUGCCAUUUUCCUAUAGGCAAGUUUGAUGCAAAUACGUUUUAGAGACGCUUAGCUAAUACUAUGAAGAGCUGCCCUCUAAUUUUUAAGUGCUCUAUCACAUGAUCAAGAAAGAGUUGUGUGCAGAUCAACUGUGUCUAUCCACCCUUUCUUGGUAGAUGCUUUUGGUAGUUAUCUUCCAACUGAUGAGAAUGAUCAUUCAUCAAAUGAACACAUGACAUGGAUGAAAGAGAAAAUAAAGAGAAGAAGAAGAGUCAUGCUUUGAUGUCAAAGAAAAUGGAACUAGCCAGUUGAAGAGAGAACACAAUGGCCAAUAUGCUGAAGAAUUUGCAGCUGAAAGCAGAUGAAAGAAGAACUUAUCUCCAACAACAAAACAGACAAUUGUUGCUAGAAAUGGAAUCAAGGCUUCAAAGUCGUUCAAACUGACGAGAGACGCUGAAAACGUUGAUGAUGCUGAGGAAGAAGUUUUUCCAACUGAUGAUCUAAUAAAAAGACUUAACUCUGCUGUAUCAGAAACAAAUACAAUGCAAGAAAUGUUAUCCCUGAAAGGAAUAAACCCAAAGCACCAUUUCCUAUCUUUGGCAUAUCGAUGGAGGAAUUAAGCAAAACAAUUUUCAUUGCAGGUGAAAUCAACAUUUUUUUGAAAGUUUCAGAAAUUAUCAAGCAGCACAAGCUCAAGCCUUUUUUACAGUUGUAACAUAGAAAUUCCUAAAGACAUUUUCUUCAAAGAAACACGCUGAAGUGCUUUACUAUAUGAAAGUCUCAUAAAAAUGUUUUGUCCCUGAUAAAUGAACUUAAUCACUUGAACUGAAAUUAAACAUUUUAAACAAGAAAUUUGCUGUUUUCAACUGCAUUUUAUAGCAUGCAGUUUGGCUUUCCCCUUAAGAACAACUUUAGAGUUGCAGUUUCAGUGUCUUGUUAAAUAUACAACGUGUAAGAGUGACUUUACACCUGCUUCGUGCGAGUUUUACAAUGUCAUAGUGUGACAGUGCUAUCUUUUGUUGUACAUUGAGUACACAUCAGAGAAAUAUUAAAACAGUUGCUGGUUAAUUAA